UACGAAGGGGGCUAGCGUUGCUCGGAAUCACUGGGCGUAAAGCGCACGUAGGCGGCUUUCUAAGUCAGGGGUGAAAUCCUGGAGCUCAACUCCAGAACUGCCUUUGAUACUGGAGAGCUUGAGUCCGGGAGAGGUGAGUGGAACUCCGAGUGUAGAGGUGAAAUUCGUAGAUAUUGGGAAGAACACCGAUGGCGAAGGCAGCCAUCUGGACCGACACUGACGCUGAGGCGCGAAAGCGUGGGGAGCAACAGG
rnacentral:rRNA from 1 species